UACGAAGGGGGCUAGCGUUGUUCGGAAUUACUGGGCGUAAAGCGCACGUAGGCGGACUACUAAGUCAGGGGUGAAAUCCCGGGGCUCAACCCCGGAACUGCCUUUGAUACUGAUAGUCUCGAGUCCGGAAGAGGUGAGUGGAAUUCCGAGUGUAGAGGUGAAAUUCGUAGAUAUUCGGAGGAACACCAGUGGCGAAGGCGGCUCACUGGUCCGGUGCUGACGCUGAGACGCGAAAGCGUGGGGAGCGAACAGG
rnacentral:rRNA from 1 species